rnacentral:rRNA from 1 species
AGUUGUUGCGGUUAAAAAGCUCGUAGUUGGAUUUCUGUUGAGGGUGGCCAGUCCGCACUUUGUGCGAGUAUUUGGUUCAGCCUCGGCAUCCUCCUGGGGAGCGUGAUUGUACUUAAUUGUAUGACGCGUAAUUCAGGACUUUUACUUUGAGGAAAUUAGAGUGUUCACGGCAGGCGAUAGCCUUGAAUAUGUUAGCAUGGAAUAAUAAUAUAAGACCUCGGUUUUAUUUUGUUGGUUUCUAGAAGCGGGGUAAUGAUUAAUAGGGAUAAUUGGGGGUAUUCGAAUUAAUGCGUCAGAGGUGGAAUUCUUGGAUUGCAUUACGACGAACUACUGCGAAAGCAUUUACCAAGGAUGUUUUCAUUGAUCAAGAACGAAAGUCAGGGGAUCGAAGACGAUUAGAUACCGUCGUAGUCUUGACCAUAAACUAUGCCGACUAGAGAUUGGAGGUCGCUCUUUUUACGGCUCCUUCA